CCUUUAGCGACUGCGGACGACAUUA
rnacentral:rRNA from 1 species